CAGGAUGAACGCUAGCUACAGGCUUAACACAUGCAAGUCGAGGGGCAGCAUGAUCGAAGCUUGCUUUGAUUGAUGGCGACCGGCGCACGGGUGAGUAACGCGUAUCCAACCUUCCCUAUAGUAGAGAAUAGCCCGGCGAAAGUCGGAUUAAUGCUCUAUGUUGUAUUUAGAAGACAUCUGAAGAAUACCAAAGGUUUACCGCUAUAGGAUGGGGAUGCGUCUGAUUAGGUGUUGGCGGGGUAACGGCCCACCAAGCCCACGAUCAGUAGGGGUUCUGAGAGGAAGGUCCCCCACAUUGGAACUGAGACACGGUCCAAACUCCUACGGGAGGCAGCAGUGAGGAAUAUUGGUCAAUGGACGAAAGUCUGAACCAGCCAAGUAGCCGUGCAGGAUGACGGCCCUAUGGGUUGUAAACUGCUUUUAUACAGGGAUAAAGUGAGGGACGUGUCCCUUUUUGUAGGUACUGUAUGAAUAAGGACCGGCUAAUUCCGUGCCAGCCGCGGC
rnacentral:rRNA from 1 species